UGAGGAAUAUUGGGCAAUGGGCGCAAGCCUGACCCAGCAACGCCGCGUGAAGGAAGAAGGCCUUCGGGUUGUAAACUUCUUUUAUGGGGGAAGAGAGAGGACGGUACCCCAGGAAUAAGUCACGGCUAACUACGUGCCAGCAGCCGCGGUAAUACGUAGGUGACAAGCGUUAUCCGGAAUUACUGGGCGUAAAGCGCACGCAGGCGGCCGCUUAAGUCUGACGUGAAAUCUCCUGGCUUAACUGGGAGGGGUCGUUGGAAACUGAGUGGCUUGAGGCAGUGAGAGGGGUGUAGAAUUCCCGGUGUAGUGGUGGAAUGCGUAGAUAUCGGGAGGAAUACCAGAGGCGAAGGCGACACCCUGGCACUGGCCUGACGCUCAUGGGCGAAAGCGUGGGGAGCGAACGG
rnacentral:rRNA from 1 species